rnacentral:rRNA from 1 species
GAUGAACGCUGGCGGCGUGCCUAAUACAUGCAAGUCGAGCGAAUGGAUUAAGAGCUUGCUCUUAUGAAGUUAGCGGCGGACGGGUGAGUAACACGUGGGUAACCUGCCCAUAAGACUGGGAUAACUCCGGGAAACCGGGGCUAAUACCGGAUAACAUUUUGAACCGCAUGGUUCGAAAUUGAAAGGCGGCUUCGGCUGUCACUUAUGGAUGGACCCGCGUCGCAUUAGCUAGUUGGUGAGGUAACGGCUCACCAAGGCAACGACGCGUAGCCAACCUGGGAGGGUGAUCGGCCACACUGGGACUGAGACACGGCCCAGACUCCUACGGGAGGCAGCAGUAGGGAAUCUUCCGCAAUGGACGAAAGUCUGACGGAGCAACGCCGCGUGAGUGAUGAAGGCUUUCGGGUCGUAAAACUCUGUUGUUAGGGAAGAACAAGUGCUAGUUGAAUAAGCUGGCACCUUGACGGUACCUAACCAGAAAGCCACGGCUAACUACGUGCCAGCAGCCGCCGAAA